rnacentral:rRNA from 1 species
AGGACGAACGCUGGCGGCGUGCUUAACACAUGCAAGUCGAGCGGAAAGGCCUUUCGGGGUACUCGAGCGGCGAACGGGUGAGUAACACGUGAGUAAUCUGCCCAUCGCUUCAGGAUAGCCAUCGGAAACGGUGAUUAAUACUGGAUAUGACAUUCCUUCGCAUGUUGGGGUGUGGAAAGUUUUUUCGGCGGUGGAUGUGCUCGCGGCCUAUCAGCUUGUUGGUGGGGUAAUGGCCUACCAAGGCUUUGACGGGUAGCCGGCCUGAGAGGGUGACCGGCCACACUGGGACUGAGACACGGCCCAGACUCCUACGGGAGGCCAGCGAGGUGGGGAAUAGUUGGACAAGUGGGCGGAAGCCUAGAUCCAGCAACGCCGCGUGAGGAUGACGGCCGUUACGGGUUGUUAAACC